rnacentral:rRNA from 1 species
UACGGGGGGGGCAAGCGUUGUUCGGAAUUACUGGGCGUAAAGGGCUCGUAGGCGGCCAACUAAGUCGGAUGUGAAAUCCCCAGGCUUAACCUGGGAACUGCAUCCGAUACUGGAUGGCUUGAAUUCGGGAGAGGGAUGCAGAAUUCCAGGUGUAGCGGUGAAAUGCGUAGAUAUCUGGAGGAACACCGAUGGCGAAGGCAAGUCCCCUGGACCUGUACUGACGCUCAUGCACGAAAGCGUGGGGAGCAAACAGG